GGGGGUAUAGCUUAAUCGGGAAAGGAUACUGCUCAUAACAGUACUUAUAAGGGUUCAAGUCACUUUAGCCCCA
rnacentral:tRNA from 1 species